UACGUAGGUGGCAAGCGUUGUCCGGAUUUACUGGGCGUAAAGAGCGCGCAGGCGGUCGUUCAAGUCGCGUGUGAAAGCCCCCGGCUCAACUGGGAGGGUCACGCGAUACUGAUCGACUCGAAGGCAGGAGAGGGUAGUGGAAUUCCGGUGUAGUGGUGAAAUGCGUAGAUAUCGGGAGGAACACCAGUGGCGAAGGCGACUACCUGGCCUGUUCUGACGCCGAGGCGCGAAGCGUGGGAGCAAC
rnacentral:rRNA from 1 species